AACCCCUGCUAUCUGUUGCCAGCAAGUGAUGUUGGGGACUCAGAUGGAACUGCCGGUGACAAACCGGAGGAAGUGGGGACGACGUCAAGUCAUCAUGGCCCUUAUGUCCUGGGCUACACACGUGCUACAAUGGCCGGUACAGAGCGCAGCGAAGCCGCGAGGCAAAGCGAAUCGCAAAAAGCCGGUCUCAGUACGGAUUGGAGUCUGAAACCCGACUCCAUGAAGUUGGAAUCGCUAGUAAUCGCGCAUCAGCAUGGCGCGGUGAAUACGUUCCCGGGCCUU
rnacentral:rRNA from 1 species